AGGGGGGGCCCCGCGCUCCCCCGCCCCGGCCACCAGCCCUGGCCCCCACCCCGCCCUGCCACUGCUUGGGGCGCCUGGAUCGCCGCGCCCCGGCCGCCGCGAGCCAUCUGCGGACGUUGUGCACCGCGGCGCCCGGCUCACACUUGCUCUUCCAGGACGCAGGUAGGGGCCGGGAAGGCUUGUAGGUCAUCUGAAACCUUAUAAACAGCAGGCACCAGUGCCUAGGAGAUGUUUGGGGGGUUUUCGAGCGGAUCCAACGAAGAGGCAAACGGGCGAGUGGGAUGUUGGAGAACCUUGGAGGCCUCCCGCCUGCCUGCCUACCCACCCGCCACCACCCACCUGAGGAAGGGAAGAAAGGGAAGUCGCUGUGGCAGCGGGAGCAGACCUGCCAGCUGCGUGUUGCCUAGAGGCGGGUUGACGGCCGGCCUCUCCCUCUCCUCCCCUGUGCCCAGCAUGACGCCUAACCCAACCUGGAUUUGUUCUGAGUGGCGGGGGAGAAAGUGAAAUGCCACCAGAUCAGUGGCAAGUAGCAGCUGCGGCGGCUCUCUCUUGGGAACCCCACUGCACAGAAGCCUCCGAGCGAUGUUUGUUUAAGCAACAGCUUUCAAAGUAAACACCAGCGAGUCCCUCCAAAGAAGUUGGGAGCCAUGAGGACUGACAGAAAAAGUAAUUUAAAAAAAAAUGACAAUAAAGAUUUCUCCCCACCAGAACAAAAAGAGAGAGAGAGCGCGCGCGCGCGCGCGCGCGCGCGCGCACACACACACACACACACACACACACACACACACGCACGCACUUUACCAUAAAACCGAUCGCCACACUCAUAGGAAAGACUUUAACACGCAACAAGGUGACCUCAAAGAAAAACACAACCCCACGGGGAUGAAGGGUUAUUGGUGAUUGAGGGGGGUCAUACGACAGCUUGAUGCGGGGAAGUGGACAGAAACGAACAAAGGGUAUUCCCUGCCCUAGAGGAAUAAGGAGUAGGCUGGAAGCUAUUCGCCGCCAGCCCUGGCUUUGCCUCAGGCACCGAACUUUCCAAUAUCAAGAUAUUAACAGAUGGCGCGGAGCGCAGGGAGGGCUCUUACUUACAUAACCCAGCCACUGCACCGGGCCGCGCAGCGACGCAAGAGGCACCCGCCAGGCCCUCGGCGGGGCUCUCAGACUCCCGGAGGUUGCUUGUUCAUCUGCAACCCCUCCCAGGCUUUGAGGGCGAGGGUGCAGAGAGUCUGUGAUUUCGGUUUUGCUCCCCCCCCCUUUCUUUUUUAAAACACACACAAGGGUUAUCUUAUCUUCUUCAGUCCACAACGGGGAAACUAGAAGAGCUUGGCUCAGCGAUAAGCAGAGGGAGUCCUGCAGAAACAAACGGGGUGCCUUUUCUCGUACUUGGGGGUAUCAUAGAGUGGAACCUACACACACACACACACACACACACACACACACACACACACACACAGACAGAGUCGCCGCCACCACCAGUGGGUGUGAUCAGCCUGUCUUGCUGUCAGCGAAGUUCAAAGGCAGGCUCCGGCCGCAGGGGCGCGGGAGUGGGUGGGGUGAGGGUGUUAGUGUCAGCGGACUCCUCUGCCCGCAGGGCGCAGUGGGCAAAAUCACACCAAUCCUCUGGGCACCGCCACUCUUCCCAGCCCGGACAGGGUGGGAACGCUCUGUGAGAAUGGCCGCGUGGCCUUCUGUUGUCUUCACGCCCAAGGCCACCUCUCUCAUGUCUGAGUCCCCUCGGUGCUGGCUUUCCAAAACCUGCGAGGAACACUCCGGCGCCUGCUGGAAAAACUGCGGGAAGAGCUGGAAGGUGGGGACUGUGCCCAGUCCGCACCAGGCACAAGUGGGGCUCCCUCCCGGUGUCCCCCUGUCCUCACUCCUGCCUGGCCUUCUCCUCUGGUUCCACGUUUGGCGUCGCAGCAUCCAGGCCCGGGAGAUGCUGACCGAUAGGUGCUGUGCGGUAUUUGCCGCCGAGCGUGCAGGGGUCCCGGCCACCUGCCCGCCGCUUGGCCUGUCCCCACCCGGGUCCUGCGGCCCUCGCCUCCUUCCUUGGCUGCCACAAGCGACCGCUCAGCUCUGUUCGCUCCGGUUCGGAGUACACUGGGCCGAACAGGGCAGCCACCUGCUCCCAGGCCGCGAGCAUCCCACGCAGCCGGGAGACGCGGGCCAUGGCCAGGCCCCCGCUGUCGCCGCCAUGUCCCCUCCCCCGCCUGUUGCUGCGGAGGUGGCGCGCCAAAGCCGGUGCAGAUACUGGUGCUGAGACGGGGACCCUCUGCAGGGACAGAGAGAGGGUGGGAUGUGGCAAGGGUUGGCAGGGUGGUCUCCCCUUUGCCCAGUACAGCGCCGUUCACGGGUGUACGGGUGUACGGAUGUUUUUCUGCCUCUUUUCCUUUGGCCUCUGAGUCAAGGGGGAGAUUUCAGAGGUGUUUCUGCGUUUUCUGGGUUUUUGGUAAUGGGAAUGAAGUUACAGAUACAGUCUCGGUGUUGACUGAGGACUCUCACUAGAGACAAACAGGCUCGGGUCUAACACCACAGAAGGGAAGCCCAGCAAAGUUGCAUUUUGUUUAAAUUAAAGCACAACCAAGCUGAAAGCCAGAUCUCUCUAUUUUUUUCUGGUAAUAUUUCUUUUAUGAAGUAUCUAAGUAUCUGUUUGUCAUCAUUUUGAGAUCAAAAGGCAAAGCCCAUAUGCUACAUAGUUUCCCAAAAUUGCUGUUUAAAUAUGUUUUAAACGUUUUAUCCAACGUGGAGGAGGAGCAGACUGCUAGGAGGCUAGCAUGGUGACAGGGUUGGGAGGCAGAGGUGUGGGGCAAGUGGAUCUGAGGACCAGCCAAUCAUCAAACUUACCCAAGAUGCAUUAAAAAUAUCUUGACCCGACUUGAGGAUCCAAGGGAGGACCUAGGAAUCUGAGGGUAACAGCAGGUCACUGUCCAGGAGUUGCCUACUCUCUGUGACCUUUCAUUGUACGUGACUAUGCCUCAGUUCUCUUUAUCUGUAAAAUGGGGAUAAUAUUCCAAACCACAGACUUACAGAGAAGCUUUGACACAGAGUUGUUUAAGAUGCAAUUGUUACUUGGCUGUAUUAGAACAAGAGGGCAGGCAAUGGUACCUGGACUGUUUACAAAAAUGCCCGAACAUGGGACCUCCCUCCUGUUUCCAACCUUUGGGUGAAGUUAGUUAAACAUGAAUGCUUUGUGAGACUAGCUCAUGAAGGAAGGGUAUCUGAGAAUUUUAUAUCCCCCCCCAUAGCAUUUAAGCAUACAAAAUAAAUUCAGAUCAAUGCUUGUCUGCAAACUUGGCUUGUGCUCCUGUGCACACAAAACUGUUUUAUAUCAAGCCCAAUCCCCCCAGGAAAGCAGGGGCCAUUUACCAUCAGAAGUGACAAAGUGUCUCUACAGAAGUUAGAGGUCAGGACACACAGGACAAAAGAACAAAAAAAAAAAAAUCAACAACAAGAGCAAAAGCCUCUACUAGAGAGGGAACUGCAAGCAGGAAAAAUAAGGUCAAUAUUUCUGGGCAAAACAAAAACAAAUGUAUGUCACAUGUCACAUGUUUUUAUAUGUUUGAAUAAAUGUCUCUCCUGAGUACACGUAAAGUUAAGAAAAAAAAAAGAAGAACUUCAUAAAAUUACACUGAAGCCAUUGCAGCCAAGCCACUGCAAGGCAAUACAGAAUUCUGCCAGGCCAAAGGCAGCUGUGAGCAGGAAAGGGAAACAGGCAGGUAGGUGCCGAGCCUGGCUGCCACGGUGUGCCCUGGCAAAGGCAGACAGCCAAGGAAACGAACCUGCUGACCUAGUGUGCACCAGAUCAAGGUGCUGGCCAGUUAGAGCCAGAGAAGCAGCAUUCAGUAGCAGGGGCCCUGGGAACCACCCAAAACGCCUGAGACAAGAGCUCUAGAUUACAGGGGUUCAGCAAAGGAAUGUCACCUCAAAUCAGCUCAGGGUGUGGAUGGGCGGUGGAGGACACCUCCCUUCCAUACCUGUCCUUGGACAUUGGUAUGUAUCUUUGGGGAGUGUGGGAAGUCUUGGGCUCCCUAGCUAGUUCCUGUUCAGGUAGAAAAUGCAUGUGACUCUGCAGGACAAAGGAAAAUGACAGCUAAGAAAACUGGAGAGGUGCACGGUACUGAGGCUAAGCUGUUGGGGAGGACAAGGCAACUUGUGUCUUCUGGUCAGAUGCCCUUGCCUACUGGAAGGAAUGCUUUUUCGACACUUUAUUUGUGGGUGGGGGAGCAGGAAAAGCACGUGUGUGUGUGUGUGUGUGUGUGUGUGUGUGUGAGAGAGAGAGAGAGAGAGAGAGAGAGAGAGAAAAGGAAAGAAAAAGAGAGGGGGAGAGAGACAGACCUCCGUUUGGCAGGAGAAAGAGAAAACCAUGGUGGGUGACAGAAAGUGGGCAGGGGGAUCUAAAGGUGUGGGUGGAGAUUGAGAGAGUACAGGUGUGGAUGUGGGUGUGUGGGUAUGGGGUCCCUGUAGAGUGUGAGUGAUCCAGAUGGGUUGUGUAUAGCAAGAGUACCAGGAGAGAGAAUGAGAACUGAGGGCAGCAAGGUGUGUGUAAGGAACUAGAGGAUGCUGAACACCUUGCUGGGCAUUUGUCAUCCAUUUCCAGUCCUCACACUCCUGAAGAGUGAGCAGGGUUGAGGUGGGAGUUAAAGGCCAGGCAAGAGUAAGGAAGUGAGGCAGGAGGCUAAAUUUGGCCUGGGUUCUGGUUCUAGUCUGGCAAAGGCCAAGGUUUCUUGGCUUCCUCUAGCCUAGAGUUUUGAAGCAGCUCCCUUGAUAAUCCCAGGUUGGCUGUGAAGGGACUUGGACUAACAGUUCAUAACCAUCACCCAUAGAGGACAGACAUCCUGUCCCCACUGUGUGCGCACGCACGUGUGUGUGUGUGUGUGUGUGUGUAUGUUUGUGUGUGUGUGUUUGUGUGUGUUUUGUGUAUGUUUGUGUGUGUGUGUUUGUGUAUGUUUGUGUGUGUGUUUGUGUGUGUUUUGUGUAUGUUUGUGUGUGUGUGUUUGUGUAUGUUUGUGUGUGUGUGUUUGUGUGUGUGUAUGUUUGUGUGUGUGUAUGUUUGUGUGUGUGUGUUUGUGUGUGUAUGUGUGUGUGUAUGUUUGUGUGUGUGUGUUUGUGUGCGCACGCGUGUGUGUAUGUUUGUGUGUGUAUGUGUGUGUGUAUGUUUGUGUGUGUGUGUAUGUUUGUGUGUGUGUGUGUGUGUGUGUGUGUGUGUGUGUGUGUGUGGCCUCUGCUCAGUCAGUGACCCUUAGGUACGUUGUUCGUGCUUGUUGUCUCCUAGACUCUGCACAUCAGCUUCCCCCUUUGCUCCUAAAUCAGUCUCCUUCUGCCCCACCUAAGGUCCGGAAUUGACCUGUUCUUUCCUCCAGACCCUAGAAGAGCCAUUUCUUCUUUCUCAAACAAACACUGGAGAGCUCUUCUUGUCUCUCCUCGGGGAUUAUGUCUAGCUCCAGUUCUGGAAGGGUCUCGUAGGAGUGGAACUCCAAUCUGACUCAGGAAAGGGGACCAUUUUCUUGAUUCCAAGGCACCACUGCUGCUAAGCCCUGCAAAGCCUGGCAUUUGGCGGCCCCGGAGAGGGCAGCCUGUAGCCAAUUCUGGCGCUGACCCAACACGAGCAGUGAUUAGCUGUGUUUGAUUUGGUCAGCUUUCUGAAGCCUCAGCUAGGAGCUCUGUUCUACAAAAUCUGGACGAGAGGCCAAAGCAUGAAAACCUCAUUUUCUCAUAUUCCAAAGUGACCUUUGCAUAAAAUCAGCGGAGAUGAGAUCGGCAGGAAGAUGUUGAGCUUCCACGGCAGCUAUGGCCACCGUGUCAGAGGAUGCUCUCUCUGUACCAUCCACUUUGUAUGCCCCACCCUUCUGUUUUUCUGCUGAAAAUAUUGUGGGUGGGCUGGAGAAGUGGCCCAGUGAUUAAGAACACUUGAUUCUCUCCUCAAAGCCCAGAGUUUGUCUCCUAGCACCUACCCUGCAUGGUUUACAACCCUCUGUAACUCCAGAACCAGGAGGUCUGACGUUCUCUUUCAGCCUCUGCUAGCGGUUACCCUCACAUGUACAUACCUCACACAGACUCACGCAUUCAUAUCAUUAAAAAUAAAUUCUAAAAUAGGAGAGUAGAUGUCAUCGAGUAUGGGAAAAGACCAUCAUUUAAAUAUGGCCUUUCGAAUAAAAGGAAAAUGUAAUGACCAUAGUCGCACAAUGGAUUUGUAAUUCCCACUAUAAAUAUUAUGCUCCUAAUUGCAGGAGCCUAUGCAAUAAAAUAUAAGAUUCUUAGCGAGGACUCGAAGUGGGUUGCAUCUGAUUCUCCCAACAGACAGGGCUUCCCUCAUAGCAUGGAGGAGUCAACUGAAUCUGGAGGAGAUCCCACAACUCAGUCAAGACCAAAGACAGUCAAUUGCGGAGUCUGGGUUGGAACCCAGUGUUUUGUGACAUUUUUUUCCUGGAGAGAUUAAACACAUAUCUACUUGGUUCAGCUAGGUAUCCCACGGCAGUCCAAAGUAGGGAUACCACCGAAGUCCGAUAUGGUGAACCAGUGAGUUUUAUUGGGGUUAUUUAAAGGAGAAUGUGUUGGGGACUACUUACAGGAGCAGAAGUGACUCAAAGACAGCUACGUCACCAAGUGGAAAUGAGGUCUUCAUACUUUUGCACCUCAGCAUGGGUGACAUUUCAGAGAAGCUGGAAACCUGGAGUGCACUGAACAGCCUGCAGGCAGCUCCACAGGUUGGAUAGUGUUCUCUCCAACUGACUCUGGUCUAAACCUCUACCAGGCAGCUUACCUGGCUUUUGUUUCUCCAGGCAGCUCUCUACUCUCCGAGUCUUUGCAGCUUGACUCUUCAAAGCUCUGCUUAGCUCAGCUGAGGGAAGCUCUCAGCUUUUAUUACUUUCUUUGGGAGGGUCUGGCCUAGUCAGUCUGGUCAGUUUCAGGGACUUCCUGAUGCUAUUUUUAGUUGUUUACCUUCUUGUUUAAGGAGCUUCCUUCUAUCAAUCUGGAGGAAACCAUUACACAACACAUAGGUCAUCCUGCUGGGAUGUGAGACAAAAUCCCUCAGGCUAUAGAAAUGUCUGCAGGAACAUUUGUUUGUUUGUGUGUGUGAAUUUUUUUUUUCUUGCAGUAUGUAUGUGUGUCCCUAGUGUCUAUGGAGGUCAGAAGAAGGCAUUCAGUCCUCUGGAACUGAAGUUACAGGUGUUUGUGAGCCACCACAUAGGGGCUGAGAAUGGACUCAGGUCCCCUGUAAGGGCAUACAGUGCUCCUAACUAUGGGGUUACCCCUCCAUCCCCUGCCUCGUUUUAAUAGGGCCAUUUCCACACCCUCAGCUUUCCCUUGACUAUCCUACCGUCAAUGUUUCCACCCCAAAACUGUGGAUAUUUUCACAAUAAACUUAUUGAAUGGAGAAAAAUUACCAAGCUGUCUGCUUCCAUUUUCCCUCUGGAUUCCAGCGAAGGCUGUGGAAGGGAAGCCACUCGGGCCAGGCUUCACUGCACAUCAGAGGACUCUGGCCGGCGGAUCCGAGGACCCCCAUUUUGUUGAAAAUAGAAUUGUAAAAAAAAUAAAGGUGGUGGGGGCAGGUUAAUCCUGUUAAACAUGGUGUGUGUUUCUGCAGCGCGCAGGGAGGGAUUAGAGGACGAAGGAGACCAAGUACUGUGUCAGCCUCGCCAGUGUCACUAAGGCGACAUGACAACUUGUCUUGCGCGAUCUUUACAGCAUGUUAGGCUGACUCAGAAGUGUUUUCUGGCGUCCCCUUUGUGUCCCCCAUGGGGUUCUUUCAUUUCUUAAACUUUCUUUCUUUCCCUGUCCCUUUCUUCCCCACACCACGGCUUUGCUUUUUAAUCCACGGUGUCUCCCUCAAGUCAAAACAUUUAGCUGGCUCUGAUCGAGAUUUGGUUUUGAAGAUGCCCUUUGACCUGGCACUGUGCAAAGCAGCCUCUGAGAAGUGUACAGUCCACCCUCAACCUUUUGCCCUUUCCCGGGGCUCCAGAAACAGCUUCUGGGGAAAACAGCUCGUUCUGGACCGCACAUCACACACAGGAGCUGCCCCCUCCCUUUUUCGUCCAUUCCUUCCUUCUCUCCUUCCCAUACUGAUUUACUUUCUCCACAAACCUUUCCACCUUUUUUGUUUCCCCACAUCUCCGGGGCAUUCACCCUGCCUAGAAUGUUCCUUGUCACAGCUCUCUCCUUUCUUUCUUCCUUGUUUGCUGUUUUCUCUUCAGUUCUCCUUCAGUCAACAGCUUCCUUUCAUCUGUUCUUUCCUAGAAAUACCUUCUUGGGCAGCAGGUACGCAGCGCUGACUCCAGGGCUCUGCUGCCCUAAGCACACUGAGCUGUGUCCUCCGUCUCACUCUCUGAGACUCUUUCCCCUGUUCAAUGUUAUUUAAUGACUUUUCCUCCUUUCCUUUCCUUUAAGCAGCACACGGACACUUGUAAUAAAAGGUUGUGCACCCUUGAAGUUUUCCAAGCUGAAGUGAGGUCAGGUGACCCGGGAGGUGGUGAGGGGCCCCACGGCUGACACAGCAAACGAAGGAAGAGGUGCCGUAGAGGAAGCGUGGGUCACUGUCUUUCCGAAGCAGGUGUCCAGCCCGGUUGGCCAUGUGGCUGGCUGUCCGUCUUUCUGAGGCUUAGACACCCUGUGGCCCACGGUCCCUUCCCCCGCUCCUGCUUUCCUCACUGGCUUACCACCAGAGACUAGAUGUUGAGUCAAUGGAAAAACAACGCUGGCCAACAUUAAAGGGAGACUGUUUGGGAAAGGAAGGCCCUGCUAGGCCGCAGAGGAAGCCUGCGUGUUAACACGGGCACCUCUUAUCUGGGGCAGCUGGGUCUGAGCUGAGUGUGCUCACUCUAUCCUUUGGCAAGAGGUCUUCUGCAGACAGGCAGCCUUGGGACUGAGGAGCCAUUCUCAGUCCAGAGUGUCCCCAGAACUGUAGAGACAAAAGCCAUUGCUCCCCCUAGAGACCGAGACAUGGACUGGGAAGCUAUGGUUUGAAGGGAGCAUGCUUCCUAAAGUCUCUGGAUUCUAUUCACCCUGGGCCCAGGGAACUAAUUCCCAUGUGCGGUGAGACUUCCCUUCUGGCCCAAAUGUGAGUCCUGGGAAGACUAGAGAGAAAGCAACCUGAAGGAAGGGGGGAGGGGCUCUGAGUUGCUUACUGGAGUCCUGAUAGAAGCAUAAGGCAAGUGGCUACCAGAGCACAGAUUCUCGGUAUCUUUUGUGGCCCAGUGAGCUACAGCACACUGACAUCUUCAGACCUCGUUCUGAGGAAAGGCUCGGCAGAACCUGUUAAGAGGAGGUCUGUCUCCUCAGCCUGCCUCAGAUCCACCAUGCCCAUCACCAAGAAGUGUUUUCUCGGCGAGGUGAAGUCCCUGUGAUAACGGCUGGACAUGUUACUUUGGGAAACAUUGGCUGCAUCCACAGUAACAGAACAGCUUGGAGUUCCAUUCUGCUUCUGGGCGAGUUUGAAUCAGACGCUAGAUGUGAGCUAGUCAUUGCUGCCUUUCCAUUUGUGCUGUGUGUGUGUGUGUGUGUGUGUGUGUGUGUGUAUCUGUGUGUGUGUAUCUGUGUGUGUCUGUAUGUGUGUGUAUUUGUGUGUGCAUGUGUCUGUGUGUGGGGGUGUGUGUUUCUGUGUGUGUGUGUGUCUCUGUGUGUGUGUAUUUGUGUGUGCAUGUGUCUGUGUGUGUAUCUGUGUGUGUAUCCAUAUGUGUGUGUCUGUGUGUGUAUCUGUGUGUGUAUCCAUAUGUGUGUGUAUUUGUGUGUGCAUGUGUGUGUGUGUGGGGUGUGUGUGUCUGUGUGUACAUGUGUGUGUGUCUGUAUGUGUGUGUAUUUGUGUGUGCAUGUGUGUGUGUGGGGUGUGUGUGUCUGUGUGUGCAUGUGUGUGUGUGUGUCUAUGUGUGUGUGUCUAUGUGUGUGUAUUUGUGUGUGUGUGUCUGUGUGUGUAUGUGUGUCUGUGUGUGUGUGUCUGUGUGUGUCUGUGUGUAUUUGUGUGUGUGUGUCUGUGUGUCUAUGUCUGUGUGUGUGUAUUUGUGUAUGUGUGUCUGUGUGUGUGUGUAUGUAUGUAUGUGUGUGUGUUGUGUGUAUGUGUGUGUGUUGUGUGUAUGUGUGUGUAUGUGUGUGUGUGUAUGUGUGUGUGUGUUGUGUGUAUGGGGCAGGCAGGUGUUAUUCCUCAGGCACUGUAUCUACACUCAUAUCACUUUUAUUUCUAAAUUGAAUUAAAUUUAAUAUUUAUAAUAAAUAAUUAAAUUAAAUUAUUUAUUUUUUUAUUCUUUCAUUUUUAUUCAUCUGAUUUUCUUAUAUUGUCCCCUUCCUUCCUUCCUUCCUUCCUUCCUUGCUUCCUUCCUUCCUUCCUUCCUUCCUUUGUCUCUCUCUCCCUCUCUCUCUACCUCCCCUCUCUCUCUCCCUCCCUCUCUCUCUCCCCCUCCUCUUUCUCUUCAUUUAUUUCUGAGAUAAGCCUCUUACUGGCCUAGUGCUUGCCCGGGAAGCUAGACUGACUGGCCAGCCAGCCCUGGGGAUCUGCCUGCUUCAGCCUCCCCCAGCACAAAGCUGAAUUAUAGCGUGCCUGUCACACCUGGGUUGGUUUUCUUGUUUUAUGCUUUUUUGGUUUGCAGGGUUUUUUGUUUGUUUGUUUUGUUUUGUUUGUUGUCUUAAGGUGGGAUGUGGGAAUGGAACUCAUGUCCUUAUGCUUGCAGGGCAAGCAAUUUACCAACUAAGCCAUAUUCCGAGCCCCACUUCUUGCUAGUGGCUGUCCUUGUUCCCCUCUGCUCUGGCCAUCUUGGUUGCCUGUGGCCCUGUCUGCAGGGACCCCCAUUCUUUGUUUCUUGGUGGUGGCACUUCUCAGUGUAUGUUUGAAACUCAGAAAAACUUUGCUUUUUUUUUUUUUUAAAAAAGAAAGAUAAAAAAGUAUUUGAUGUGUCUGAGUGUAUUGCCAGGAUGUAUGUCUAUAGAUGACAUGUGUGCCUGGUAUCCACAGAGGUCAGAAGACCUGAGCCCCUGGGAUUGGAGUUUCAGACAAUUUUCAGCCACCACAUGGGUGCUGAGAACCAAACCCAGGUUCUCUGCAAGAGCAUCCUGUGUUCUUAAUCUCUGAGCCAUCUCACUGGCCUCUUCCUCUUUUCUUCUUUUCCUUUUCUUUCCUUUCUUUUGUUCUUUUUAAAGGCAGACUGUCAUGUUGCCCUGUAGCUUUCCUCUUCUGUUCCUCCUGGUGACUCACCUUGAGUGCUGAGGCUACGGAGCUGUCACCAUUGCACACAAUUCCAUGUUCAAUUGUCCCCAGGGCUUCCUGUGUGCAGAUUAGGCAAGCAUUCUAUCAGUGCAGUCACAUCUCUACCAACUGAGCUAUACCCCAGCUCCCAGACAGAGUAAGGAACCAUCAGCCCUCCCAAAGCAUGACAGUGAGCGCUGAAUUUUAAAGAAGUGGAAAAUUGAAACAUGAAAUAACCCAUUUGGCUUCAGGACUUGCGACGAAUCAAGGCUAUUUUUCCUUUUGAAAGAAGCUACUUCUUUGGGAAGGUAGCCUCAAGAGUUGGGUUCUCUCUCCUCUCCUCUCCUCUCCUCUCCUCUCCUCUCCUCUCCUCUCCUCUCCUCUCCUCUCCUCUCCUCUCCUCUCCUCUCCUCUCCUCUCCUCCUCCUCUUCUUCUCUCUCCUCUCCCUUUCCCCCUCCCUCCCCCCUCUCAUUUUGUGUGUAUUAAAGGACAACUUGUGGUAGUCAGUUUGGAUCCCUUUUUCCACCAUAGGGGGGCUGGGAAUGGAAUACAGUUUGGCAAGCCCUCACGUGGCACGCCCUUACCCAGUGGGCCAAGGAGAUGGUUCAAGUGUUAAGUUUGUUUUAAUUUACACUAUUUUGACCUUUGUUUUGUGCUGUUCUCCUGUAGAUGUGCAACGUGACCCCAGGCAUGUAGCUCAUGUGUACUAUUAGAAGAACAAAAUCAAUCUGGUCUGAUGCUUCCCCAGGCCAGCCUAUAGGUCAUAACCCUGUAAGACAUCAGUGAACUUCACUCCUGGGCUUGUCUGUUCCCUCAGACAGGACAGGGAUGAUUACAGGAAUGCGAUUGGUAAACGUCCAUCCCCGUUGAAGGGUAAAAGGACAAAAUUGCACGUAUACGCUGCUGACUUCAAGUUUCCUUCUGUCUGGUCUCAGCCUCUAAUCACCAACACACCACUGCUCUCUCCUCAGAGAACCCAGUCAUCUGGGUGCUGGAUUAAUCUGUAGCUUCUCAGGGGAGUUGUUAACCAGUGGAAAUUCUGCCAGUGAUCUGUGGCACCCGUUUCAGCAAACACACAUUGAAUAACAGUCCCUCCUCCCCUGCCCCCAGCCACCCAUCUGUCCUCUCUUAUUCAAGGUUUGACUUUCAAACAGGGUAGAAAGCAAGCUUUUGUUCAAUCCCAUAUUUGUCCUAAGAAGACAAUCUAUGACACAGAUGACUUAUAACUUUCUAUAGCCUCGUCAAUAAGCAAAUAUCAUUGGUUUGAACCAAAAAGCUAAAUGUAAAAUACAUUAAAUUCUGCCUUAUUGUCUUAUUGUUCAUUCACCAAAGUGAAGUUUAUGAGUGUCUAGUUUUGAGGUUGCUUUGGACUUCUGAACAAUUUAGGGAUACAAAUGGGGUAAAAAGGGUAAGGGAGGGAAAAAUGAAAAAAAAGUAAAAAAAAUUAGUUGUUAUUAAAUGUACUAGUUAAGUUCUAGUUUUUAUAUGAAUGUUUGACUUUUUUAUAGCACCAACAGUGUUUCGUGGGUACAAGUCCUGUCAAGUAAAGCUAGGAAUGAACAUCGACCUCGGAGGUUCUGUAGCUUGCUACAGUGAGGAAACAAGGUUUGCAUUCCCACAUUUCCACAGGUCAGAAGGCAUCUGCAGUCACACCAAUCGUUUUGAGUUUCAUGCUCACGACGGGGGAAAAUGGAGGUCUUCACAUCACCUUCUUUAGCUGUAUUUGCUAUGAAGAAAAAUCGUUGUUUACCCCUCGGGAAUUUCUGAAGGAAAAGAAAAAUCAAUUUCUAUCAAUGAGUGAUAUUUUUCUCCCCAAGGGGUAUUGACUUCACAAUGGUGAGUUAUUUCCCUCAGACACCCACUGGGAAUUGUUAGCGGGCAUGUCUUUUAUGAUUUAAUAAACAUGUAGCUUUUAGCUUCGCUGUCUUGGCCAGGAGAUCCUGAUUUCUGGAUUAUCUCUGGUUUGAGCAGUUUACAAUCUUUACAUUCGGAUGAAAGGCUCCUGUUUCCGUAUUUUAAGUUAACAAACGUGCUCUCCCCUUCUGCCUCUUUAAUUGGAGAACAGGCCUUCUGAUGAAGCAGCAAGUGAGCAAGCCUUUUUUCUCACUCUUUCCAGCGUCUCCUCUUGGCUUAUGCAGUCAAGUCUACCUCAAUGCCUCCAUGACUCCUUUUCCUCUUCUUAUAUACUAGCACAAUACUGAUAUUUUUAAAUUUUAUAAUAAAAAAAGAACAUUUUUCAUUGCUGUGAGAACAGUUCUUACUGGAGAAAUCAAAGACUGGCUCAAAUGUACCAUGUAGCCCAGGUUAGUCCCAAAUUUAUCCUCUCAUACUGAGUGUUGGGGUUAUAGGUAUACCCAGCUUGAAUUAAAACUCUACUUUGCCAGAGAACCCAUUCUGUAAAGAAAUCUUUUAAGAGGAGGGGAUGGAGGAAAAGACAGAGACUAUGGAAGCCAUGUGGGCUGGUUGGCUUGAAUUGUCAACUUGACACAGCCUAGAGUCUUAAGAGAAGAGAGUCUCAACCGAGGAAUUGCUUAGACGAAGAUCGUCCUUUGGGCAGGUCUGUGGAAGAUCGUCUUGAUGUCUCACUGAUGCAUGAGGGUCCAGCCUGCAGGCAGCAGCGUCUUUAUUCAGGGAGUCCUGUGAUGUAUAAGAAACCUGGCUAAGGGCUGGAGAGAUGGCUCAAGGGUUAAGAGCACUGACUGCUCUUCCAGAGGUCCUGAGUUCAAUUCCCAACAACCACAUGGUGGCUCACAACCAUCUGUCAUGGGAUCUGAUGCCCUCUUCUGGUGUGUCUGAAGACAGCUACAGUGUACUUAAUAAAUAAAACAAAUAAAUAAAUCUUUAAAAAAGAAAGAAAGAAAGAAAGAAAGAAAGAAAGAAAGAAAGAAAGAAAGAAAGAAACCUAGCUAAGCAUGAGCCUGAAUAAGCAAGCAAACUGUUACUUUCUGGUUCCUAGUCCAAGUUCCUGCUUGAGUUUGUGCCCUGACUUUUUAGUCAUGGUGUUUGUCAUGGCAACAGCAGGAAACUUGGAUGUUUUGCCGCUGUGACUGUUCAUCCUCUCUGGCCGUUGUCUUGAAUCUGUGUGUUUUCUUCAUGUAUUUUUCUUGAGUGUGUUCAGGGAGGAGCCAAGAUAAGUCUCUGGUGCCAUUCCUCAGGAGCUGUCCACCUUAUUUUUGAGAAAUGGAGCUCUGCUACUGGCCCAGAGCAUAGCUACAGGGAUAGGCAGGUUGACCAGUAAGUCCUGGGGAUCCACCUGUCUCUACCUCCCCACUGCUGGUGUUUCAAGCACAUCCAUAAUGCUUGAUUUUUGUUCCUCUCUCUCUCUCUCUCUCUCUCUCUCUCUCUCUGUUUGUUUUGUCUUUUUUAAAAUGUAUGUGAUGGAGGUUGAAGCAAAACUUCAUGCUUGUGUAGCAAGGACUUUAUCAUCCGAGCCAUCCCUCCAGCCUAGGCAUGGAGUUUAAGAGGAAACAGAUUGUGAGACAAGUUUUCCUGUGGCUUCCCCCUUAAUUCUAACAUUUCCAUGACAGCAUGGCUCUCCAUUGCCAGCUAGCUGAGGCUAGCCCUUGCUUUGUUGCCAGACUCUUCAUUUAGCUCAUCAUUGUAGGGGUGCUUCUGGCAUAUGUCGGUAACCUGAUGACGUCUUUCUUUCUUUCUUUCUUUCUUAUGUCUCAUCGAAUGACUACACCCAUCUUCUACCCAGUGGCAUGAUCAUUUUGACAGUCUUGCCCUCAGUGUUUGCCGGAGAAUAGUAGUUUAGGAGCUUUGAUCACACUUAAUGCUCAUGUCUGGGCUCUUAAAGAGAUCUCAAAUUUGCAACAUACCCUAAGCUUUCACAUAAUCUCUUUCCUGUUCUAGGUUUCUGAAACUUUGCUCUUGUCUUUCUGUAUUUCCACGUCUCCCCAAUCUUUAGUCUAACACCAGGAAUAUAACUAUAUGUGUGUGGCCUCUCUUGAAAAGCACCCUGCUGUGAUUGAAAUAUGUCCCUGAUCCUGAGCUCACCCAAGCCUUUACUCUCUGAAUUCAGAUGUCAACAGUAUUAGAAGAGUGAAACCCAACCCCACUCUGUUGAUUGGAUGUUGAUGGAGAAUGGUGUAUGUAGAGCUCCCAUGAGUGAGGUGGGAGGUGGUCUCAUAAGGAGACAGAGCACUUUCAUAGAAAUACCUCACCAGAGCCCAGGCCACAGGAUCUGCUUGCGUGUGCUGCCUCUAAGAUGAUGAGUUGAACAAACCUCUUUCUUUCUACCAGUGCCCUACCUCAGGUAUUUUAUCAUAGUGACAAAGAUGCUGGCCAACAAAUCCUGAUCUCUUCUCUAAAUAAAUUCAUCUUCAUGUUUCAAGGUCCAAUUUAAAAUUCAUUUGUGUUCUUCUGGUUAGCUGUCACGCUACCACAAUCCAGAGUCAUCUGGAAAGAGAGAACCCCAGUUAAGGAAUUGCCUCCAUCAGAUUGAUUCAUAGGCAAAUCUGCCGGGACAUUUUCUUGACUGAUGAUUGAUAAGGGUAGACUCAUUGAGGGAAGUGCUACCCUGGGCAGUGCCAUCCCUGAGGGCAGUGUCACCCCUGGGCAUAUGGUUCUCAGUCGCAUGAGAAUGCAAGCUGAGUAAGCCAUGGACAGCAGUAGGGUAAACAGGGAUCCUCCCUGGCCUCGGCUUGAGUUGCUGCCUUAAGUUUUCACUUUGUCUUCCAUUCACAGUGGAUUGUAAUCUGUACAGUGAAAGGAACCAGUUCCUUCCCAAGCUGAUUUUGGUCAAAACUUUUGAUCACAGCAACAGAAAGCAAACUAGGAUAGCUGUGUGAUCUAGAAACCCUGGUCACACAUGCCUGUUGCUUAUCAAAAAACGAAGUAAGCUGUUUUGUUCCUUCAGCCACGUUCUCUGAGUGCUUCCUGUGGGCUAGCUUUCAUGAUGUCACGCGAUAAGAUAUCAAAAUCUUUGGGGUGGAAUUUAUAUUUCGGGGCAAGAAAUAACCAUAGGCCAGUUCUAACAUUGGGCAGAGCAAAUGCUAUGGACACAAGGGAAGCUGGGUGGGGUAGAGAGGACCAAAGAUGACUGCAGGAUGCCAAGAGAAAGGUAGCUCAGAACACAAUCCCUGGUACCUGCCCGCCACAGAGCCUGGCAUCUAAGAAAAUGCCCCACAGCAUCUGCUAAAUGAGAAUCCCACUGGCUUAAGGAGACCUGAAGGAGAUAAAGGCUAUGACUAGGAAUUGGCCGGAUAUAUGAUUUCAUGUGUUUCACACCGGUCUCUCUGACUGUGUCUGGUUCUGGGUAGGCCAUGCAUUGACUGUGUUUGCAGCAUGUGCUGUGGUCAACAGUGACUCCAUUUAGGGAUGACCACGCCCAUACCUGUCUAUUGAGAAUCACAUACUUUCCUCCUAACCAAACUGAGACUGACCGGUGAAUGAAAUGUUUAUGUUUGAGAGAAUUGGUGUUCUUAUCAGCUUUUCUCUUUAUAACAAUGAUCUAGAUCUUGCAUUUUUUCUCACAUUUGUGUUUUUGAAUGAUUAGCAAAGCCAAACUGGACCAGGCAGAUUUUGCCUCUUCUUGCGCAGACGUGGUAGCCAUGAUGGUUGUGUGAUCUCUGAGCUAGUGGCUUCCUGCUCUGGGUAUGAUGAGCUCGAUUUUUGCAUUCUAUGCUUAAUAUUCUAUUCUAUUCUAUGCCUUUCCAUCCUGUACCCUAUCACCGCAUCUGGCUUUAACACCCUUCCUACCCCUUCUUAUUUUCAGGCAAGACUAUCUUCUCAAGAGCAUCUUAAAGAUCGGGGGCUAAAAGUCUCAGUAAAGUACAAGCACAGGGCCAGAGUUUGGAACCCCAGCGCCCAUGUGAAGCCUGAGCGUGGCUGCACUCAACCUUCCAUCUCAGAGCUUGGGAGGGAACAAAGGAGUAUCCUUGUGACUUGCUGGCCAGUCGGUCUGUCUAGCCAAUCAGUGAUCUUCAGGUUCAAUGAGAAACAGGCUUCAAAAAGUAAUGCAGAGAGUAACUGAAGACGACACCAUAUAAACUUAUAUAUGCAUGUGUGGCACAUAUAGAAGUCAUAUAAGUCACAUAUAUAUGUAUGUGUGUGUGUAUGUUCUAUGUACAUAAAGAAGACACAGUGUGCCUUCUAUAUAUCUUCUAUAUGCUCAUGCAUUCAUACAUACAUACACAUGAACAUAUACACACACGUGUACUCCCUUAACACCAAAGAGUAUUCUGAAGAUUAGAUGUCUUUUAUUAGCAAACUAUCUUGGGUUGUAGAGUUGGGAAGAAGAGGAAUUGAGAUGAACCAGCUCUAUUCUCUACUCCUGUCGACAAGAACUAAGCAGACAAAGGGACUGGAGUAACAACUGUUUUUUCCCUAGACAGCUGCUGUGUCCUUUCUCCAUCUCACCUCCUUGGUGAAAUGGCAUUUUCCUCGGUCUGGUCUUGUACCUGAGCUGUCAUUCUGUCACUCAGACCACACAACAAAUGCCAAGGAAGUUCACCCUCCCAAGUUCAUGUUGGCAAUUAGGGAAGCUCAUGUUGGCUCUUAGCCACACUAUUUUGGUUAGUCCACAUCUCUCUGUGUGACUCUUUGCUAGUCUCCACGAUCGGAUUCAAGACACCCCAAGAGACUGCCGCAUGCUCUGAGAGCCUGUCACAGGCUCUGUGCCCUGCGCUUUGCAUCCUCAGCCUGCAGGCACUCUUAGUGAAGUCUGUGUUGCUGUCGAUGGAGUUAGCUAAGAGAACAAUUAAUUGGCUUGGUGUGCAGUCUGUCUCUUCUUCAGGUUAUUAAUGUUAUCAAUGUCUGGUUACACAUGUGUGUGUGUCUGUGGGCAUAUGUGUGUAUGUAUGUAUGUAUGUAUGUAUGUAUGUAUGUAUGUAUGUAUGUAUGUGUAAUAGCAUGUGCCAGAGUCCAAAAAUUAACCUUACAUGUCUUAGAUGCUUUCUCCCCAGGGUAUCUCACUGUCCUAAAACUUACCAAAUAGGGUGGGAUGACUGUCCACUGGCUGUCCCUCAUGUCCCUGCCUUUCUCAUGCUGGAGUUAUAAGCACACCUGUGUUUUUCCAUGGGUCCUGGGGACCAAGAUUUGAUCCUCAUGCUGGUACAGCAGCUGCUUUGUGAACUGAGACUUCUCUCCAGACCCCACUAAAUAGUUCUAAAACUUGUUCAAUGUUUCCUGUCCUUCAAACUGCAUCAAAGUAAGGGAAACAUACAAAAUAUGCAUAAUCUGUGCAUGCUUUGUUGACAACAAUGCCCAGUGCUGGCCAGUAUAAGUAUGUCUGGAGAUCUUUUAGAAAUGAGGGGUAAAUUCUGAGGGCAGGAAGGUUUUAGGGGAAGGUGUGUGUGUGUGUGUGUGUGUGUGUGUGUGUGUGUGUGUGUAUGUGUGUAAAACUGCCUGCAAAUUGGUAUAGGCUGAGAAAUUCAAUUAAUCGUAUUCAUCAAUUUUUCACUCUGGGUGGGGAAAUGAGGCAGAGAUGUGGAAUUCUUGGCCCCACCCCUGUUAUGGCAUUUUUAUUAAAAGAAAGAAAAGAAAAACUUGGCAUAUUACAUCAACCAGAUUUUCCCCGCUUUGUCUCAAAGAAGGCUCAGCUGAACAGUAGCCUCCUCACCCAGUAAAACAAUCAAAAACUCACAGGACCUCAGCUGCUUCGGAUGAUGUCACAGAACCCUUAAGAACGCUCGCCGCUGACUGGGCUCGGCUCCAGCAAGAACAAUUCUUCCUGCCAGCUAUUCAGGGCCUUUGACAGAUUAGGUGGUCUUCCUCUCUCUUUCUCUCUCUUUCUCUUUUUAAUUCUUCUUUUCCUUUCCCCCUCUCUCUCUUUUUCCUUUUCUUUUUUUAUCUUCUCAAAAGGCACUUCAGUUUACCUCUGAGCACGACAUUAGCUCUGGCUGCCCCAAAUAACAUUUUAAUUGAAGUCUCAGUCCAAACAAAUGCCGGGCCUCUUUAUUAACCCCAACAGUGUAAUUUUUCACCCUGAGUCUGAUUCAGGGAAGCUGUGUCACUUAAGUCGCCGUGCGACGGAACAUGGCAGCUCUGGUCCAUCCGUCUCUUUUCUGACCUUAAUUUGAACCUUAAUCUCUUUUAGCCGUGUUCUCUUUAUUAGCUGCCCAUCGCCCUGCCCUGUGCUAAUUUCCCUGCUAGAGUCUCCAGGCACAGAAGCAGCCCCCUCCACCACGGUCCCCAAACGGAACCAUCAAAGUUUCUUAGCUUUACUUUGGGGAUAGGGAAAGGGAUAGUUCGAGUAUCUUUGUCCAGUAAUCUCGAUGGCUCCUUUGCAAAAAACAGUCUGUAAAAUUUUAACUAUUUCUGACAUUCACGAGAUUUAUGUUUAUAACACUAACAUGCUCUUUAACUGUUAGGAAAAACUGGAAAAACUCUCGAAAGUGAACACAAGGGAUUCUUCACCUAUGGACAGACCCAUGAUUAGAAAAUAAAGCAGAAAACUGAGAUUACUGCCUUACUAAUCCAGGCAAAGACAAUAUGUCUUUAUCAGAAAUCUCUAACCUUUUGGGGGGGGCAGCACCUGAAUUACCCAGAUAAUUGCUUUAAUUCAUUUACUCAUUUUAACGCUUAGACAUGACCAGUGGCCAACAGCAGAGAAAUUUCUUUUUACUAAUUAUACUUUCCCAUUUUUCAACAUUGGUCAAAUGAUCCAAAUGGGAGACUAGGGAGAAAAAGCACUACUUUUCAAUCGCAACGAUAGAAACGUGUUUCUCUAUUUGGAGUCUAGCUUAAUAUAGCAGAAGUUUGUAGGUAGAAAACAGUGCUUAUGAUCGUGUGCCCAAUUAAAUUUAUUAUAGGUUUCCGUACUUUUUGGCACUGCCGUGGAAGCAUAUUAGUUAUCAUUCUUUAUAACCUAAUUGGCGGCUUUGUGUCUAGUCGGCCCUCUGUUCUCUGCAGAAUACAAUAGUUUGUUGAUUGCAAAAAAUUACAUUUCUGUGACUUUAAAGUCCUAGAGCUGGGGUCGUCAUUGAACGAUGUAGGCACAGCCGGGUGUUUCAGAGGGCAAGGACCAAGUGCCCUCUGGGACUGGGGAGGGAGGCAGCUGGGGACAAUUGCCUGCUCCCUGCAGUGUUCCGUGGUCUUCACAGCAUGCUUGAUAAACUUUGCCUUCAUUUCCCUGGCUAGAACAAUUAGUGAGGAUGAAUCAGAGUUCUCUUGGAUCACAGUUUAUUAUAUGCUAUUAAAUUCCAUUAUUCGAGAAGUUACUUCUGUGAUCACCAUCAAACUUCUCCCCGGCCCUCCGUGGAGUCUCUGUUGCAUGUUGGCUGUUUGCUUCUGUGAUAGGCAAGGUUUCUUUCUCUUUCCCGUUAGCACUUACUCAGAGCACUUGAAGCUAAUUUGAAAAUACAUCUUUGAAAGGACAACAACAAAAAAAAAAGAGAUGUGGUGGGGGUGGCCCACAACGGCGGAGGAAGGUUCUUAAUUAGUCCGUUAUUUUACACGCACGAUUUAACAUGGUGUGUUUCGCGCUCUACAUUCCCCAAAAGAACAAGGCUCUUUUUUUUUCACCCUCAUCCCAAAACUUCCCCCUCACUCCUUCUGUCCCCCUUGUCAUUUUCUAUUAACCAACCCUGACAUCCUGUCCUGGAAGGAUGAGCAAACAGAUCACUUCCAAACUGGUGUAAGUGACACUGAGAGCUCUGGCCAGAAGCGAGAGUUUGUGACAGCAACGAGCUCCUCAGCCCCUGGGGUUAGAGACUGUCACUUCAAUAAUAUACUGAAGUCCCCUGUCACAGCAUGUCUGCAGCAAGUCACCAAAUGUCCAGGAGUAGUAGGGCUUGUCUAGGAAGAUAACGGGCAGUGGGAUGAUCUAAAGUCCGUCUUGCUGCUAAUGGCAACAGAGGAGAUUAACACCACAAACUGCUGUACUACCUCAGCCAUCCUGCACCACCCAUUCUGCAGGUGGGGAAACUGAGGACCUGCCAUAGCCUGGCAUCAGGUGUCUCUGCUCAUAAUGUACGUGUUGAAGCUGAGGUUUUAAGUGUUGUGCGAUGGACUUCAGGCUCAUGUCUGUUUCUAGAAGAACCACACACCAGCCUUCUGGUACUGGCGGUGAUGGGGUGUCCGAAUUUCUUUUGGGAUCUGAAGGAGAGAGGUACCUUCUGGUACUGUCGUGAUGGGCUGCAGACAACGUGAAUAAGCCAGGGUUGGACAGAGGUGCCUUGACUUUGUUAAGAAAGGAAGCUGGAAGGUUUGCUCUGGUCAGGUCAGCCCUGUUGGUGCACUUCUCUGCCUGCUCCCCGACUCCUCCCCCUGCUUCUAAGAAGUAAAAGUUGGGGAGGGACAGCAGCAGAUGUGGACUGGAGCAGCCAGGAGCCAGCACAGGCUGUAGCCAGACCCUUACACUGUCUUCAGGCCUCCCAGGGCUUCUGUUCUUAAGACCAACAAUGUCGAGUAUUGCCCAACUCUCAGUCCUUGAUCUUUCUUGAACAAGUGUUAGCCUUUUCCCCCUAGUAACCCCAGAAUUACGUUAUUUAUUGCUACACAAGAAGGCUGUGGGCAUGCACUGAAGGCGAUAAAGAAGACUUGAUGGUCUGUAACCAGAUGCUACCUGUUAGUUGACUAAGGGCCUGCUAGACCUCCACAGUUCCUGCAGGUUCUACACGUGGUCACCGUGGUCCCAUUGCUGUGGACAUGUGUCAGGGGACAGCAGCAUGACAGAAGAGCAGAGGGGCUCAGUUGCUGCUGGGGUGUCCGGGAAAGCAGAAUGCAUUGGUAAAAGAAAGGUGAAUACAUUCCUAAAGGACCUGGCCCCUGCUGAUCUACGUUUUCUCUUUAGGAUCCACCACAUUCUAGGUGCACCAACAGCUGGAGGCUGAAGAUUCAACGCACAAGCUUUUGGUGGACAUUUAGGAUCCGACCCUACAUACCAAAGGGAUGAUUGACAGCUCUACAUAGGAUAGCUUUCUGGCCUAGGCUUCGCACACAUCUGUAGCCAGGUAGACAUGGUGGCUGUAGGGAAGGAUGUAGAUACCACCUGCACUAAAGUUAGGUGUCAGCACCACAGUGUCACCUGCCGUCUUCAGUCCCAUCAACUGCUCCCUGAGUUUGGCAAAUUGUCCUUUGUAUGCCCAUCUGUCAUGAAUGCUUGAAAGUUAGGAAUGGAAGCAAGACCAAGAGUUAAUGAUCAGAGAAAGAGCAGUGGCUUCGGGUGUGGUCCUCUGGAAUGACAGAGGAGAACAAGGCCCAAGAGAGGGUGGGCCAUAUAGCAGGAGGUGUAUUGCUUAAACAAACGGAGGGCAUGGGCUGGAGAGAUGGCACUGUGGGCAAAGUGCUUACUGCUCAAAUCUGGAAACCCAGGUUUGAAUCUCUAGCACCCAGGUAAAGGCUGGGGGUACAGCAGCAUAGAUAUCUGGGGGACACAGAGGCACAGAUGUCUGUAGUACUCACACAUCUACUAGAAAUGGAAGAUCUCUAGACACACUUGAGUCAGCCAAGGUAACCUGGGGUACACAGGGGUAGAAGAUACUCUGUCUCAAACAAAAUGGAAAAGUGAGAACUAAUACCCAAAGGUUUCCCCUGAUACCCACAUGUAUGCAACGAUAGGAACAGAGCAGCAUUUACAUGCCAAUGUGUGUGGGCACACACACUCUCUCUCUCAGCACUUGUACAUCACAUUCUAAUACAAUGGUUCUCAAAUUGUGGGGUGUGACACCUUGAGGGGGUCAAAGGACCCUUUCACAGGGGUUUCACAUCAGAUAUUUACAUGGUGAUUUAUAACAGCAGCAAAAUUACAGUUAUGAAGUAGAAUGAAAAUAAUUUUAUGGUUGGGGGUCAGCACAACAUGAGAAACUUUAUUAAAGGUUCACAGCAUCAGGAAGUUUGAGAACCCCUGCUCUAAAAGGAAAGUCAUUAUAAAAAGCUCUCUCUGGUCUCUGUCUCUGUCUCUGUCUCUGUCUGUCUGUCUGUCUGUCUGUCUGUCUGUCUCCUUUUCCUUCUUUUGAAAUUUUUGUGGUUUUGAGUCAGGGUUUUACCAUGUAGUUGAGGCUGGUCAGGAACUAGAUCACAGUGGCCUUGAACUCAGAAACUCCUGCAAAGGGGUCUGGAUGUUGAGAUUUAUAGGCAUGUGUUAACAUGUCUGGCUGAAUAAUUUAUCUUUGUCACCUUAAAAAAAUCUUUUAAUAUUCAGGUCAUCUCUCAGAAAUACAUAUAUUCCUGAGACUGUGUAAAAACUGUCUAUUGCCUAUAUAUCUAUCAUCUAUCUAUUGAUUGAUAGGCUUAACUAUCAUCUAUCCAUCAAUCCAUCAUCUUCCCAUCAAUUUUUCAAACUAGAUGAGUAGAUGACAGGAGAUUAGAUGUCCAGCAACAGGAGGAAGGGCGAACCACACACAGUGAAGCUGGGAGUCCCAUGACUCUCUAGACUUUGAAAAGUGUUGACUUCUAGAUGCCAAAGACUUGAAAGGGGUCUAAUGACCCACAGUGCUGACGUGUUUCUCAAGAUGGCAGAGCCAUUCUCUGUGUUGAAUAAACUGGCUAAACACGCUUGGUCUUUGUACUUUAGAGGAAAGCAUCCUCCACUUUCAACAGAACAGAUCAGCUCCUUGGCACUGGGGAUGGCUGAAUUGAUGAUGUGUAGGAUGUCCCCCAUAGUCCUGACAUUUUGCCAGAGGAAGGACGCAAGGCCAGGCCUUCAGGAGUCUCCUGGCCUCUGAUUGUGCAGGCAAAUCUCAGACUGUGAUCUCAAGAGCUGCCUUUCCUGUUCCCAUUUCCGUGACGAUGAAUGGGUCUAUAACGUUCUUUUUUUUUUUUUGGUUCUUUUUUUUCCGGAGCUGGGGACUGAACCCAGGGCCUUGCGCUUCCUAGGUAAGCGCUCUACCACUGAGCUAAAUCCCCAGCCCCGGUCUAUAACGUUCUUAUGUUCAACAAUUUCAUGUCCUGUUGGUCGCUGGUUGCAUGCACUGCACGUUUAUUUACUUCUUGUUUCUGUCAUCUCCAAAACUAAAUACAUGACUAAGUCAGGCUGCUCUGAGGGCGGCCCGGGGGGUUCCAAGAGCGAACUCACAUAGAAGAUUUAGAACAGCUCCUGGCAUACAGUAAGUGCUCAAGAACUGCUAGCAAUUGUUAUUGUUUCUACAUUAAUCUCCCCCAACCACAUCAUUAUUAUGCUAAUUUCAGAUAAGUUUUACUGAAAUAGUCUGCUCAUAGUCAAACGGCACUUACAUAUGGCCAUGUGCAUCAUGACUACUUUUUGAAACAAAGACUUACUUAUUCUCAUGUUACGUUGUUUAAUGGCUUCUCUCUCUGUCUCUCUCUCUCUCUCUCUCUCUCUCUCUCUCUCUCUGUGUGUGUGUGUGUGUGAAUAGACACACGUGUGCAGUGCCCCUGGAAAUGGGCAUCAGAGCCUUUAGAACUGGAGUCGUAGAGUUGUGACGAUCCACAUAAGUGUUAGGAUCCUCUGGAAGAGCAAGCAGUGCUCUUAACCACCGAACCAUCUUUCCAGCCCCGAGUUCUGAACCCUUUAUCUACUGAUGAACAACUAAGUUACUGCCAUAUCCUGGGUUCAGUAAAACAUGAGGCACUGCACCUGGGAACACAGACGUCUUGUUGAGUCUCUGCUUUACCUUGAUGCAUAUGUGCGGAGGAAGGAUUGUGGGGUUGUGUGCAGGCUGGUGUGAACUCGGGCACUGGGAAGGAUGGGAGACACUGGAACUGGACCUAAACCCAUUUCCUUCUGCCCCGAUCCUAAAUUGUAACCUCAGAAUGAGGCAGGUUGUGGGAAAGAGGCGGUCACUUGUGUUGGCGACUUUUUUAUAUAGAAGAAUAUGGCAUUGAUCUGCUAGAAAACACUCAAAGUUACGCUUUCAAAAAUGAAAUAAAAUUUAGGGACUGGAGUGAUGUCUCAGUGGUUAAGAGCAUGCGGUGCUCUUGCGGAGGACCCAGCAUUUGCAUGGUAUCAGGUCAUAAUUAUUGUAACUCCAGGGGCCUUACUCCCUCCUCUAACUAUUGUGGACACCAAGGGCUCAUGUGGUGCGCGGACGUACAUGCAGGCAAAACACUCAUACAUAUAAAAUACAUUUUAAAAAAGAAUUUUUAUUUCUUUCCUCAUACUAAAAAGGGAUAGGAGUUCUAUUAAUGGUUGUUAGUGAACCCUGUGGAAUGGCCUCAAGAACACUGUGUUCUCAGUCAGCCAGCACUGCCCAGUAUAGAAUCAGAUAUGGAGGAAGUGACUCUGCCCUUGAAGCACUCAAGAUCCACAGGGAACGCAAGGAAACAGAGAAUAAAAACCUCAGAUGAAUAAAAUACACCCACAGCCUCCCAGGAAGUUUAUUUGCUAUAACCCAUGUGGGUCAACAUUCUACUGUCCAUUCAACACAGUAAAAUAAAAUAAGGUGAUUGUUGAGUUGAGAGGAAAUUGAUCAUCAUGGCAUUGUCUCUGGCUUGGGACAAAGUGGCAAUCCCAUCUGUUUGUCUCACCUCAGGCUUAGCAAUCUCUAAGAGAAGAAUUGCUGAGAGAAGAGAGUGGAAUGCUAUGGCUGAUUAUUGUAAAUAACAAAAUUGAGGAAAAGAAUAUCUUAGUUACUUGUCUAUUGCGGUUACAAAGCAUCAUGACCAGGGCAACUUAUAGAAGAAAGCGUUUAAUUGGGGGCUUAAGGUUCCAGAGCGUGAGUCCAUGACCAUCAUAGCACAGAGCAUGGGGGAGACACAGGCAUGUCUUUGGAGAGUAGCUCAGAGAUUAUAUCUGACCCACAAGCAUAAAUGAGAGAGAGAGAGAGAGAGAGAGAGAGAGAGAGAGAGAGAGAGAGAGAGAGGAAGAAGGAGGGAGGAAGAGGGAGAGGGAGAGGGGGAGGGAACCUCAAAGUCCAUUCUCAAUAUCAUAUCCCCUUCAACAUGGCCAUACCUUCUAAUCCUUCCCAAGCAGUUCUACCAACUGUAGCUCAAGCAUUCAAAUGUUUGAGCCUGUGAGGGGCAUUCUCACUCAAACUACCUCAAGGAGAUCAAUCAUGAGAACAAAACAUGUAAUGAGGAGAAGGAAGGGGAGGAGGAGAAAAAGGAGAAGAAAAAGGAGAGAGAGGAGGGGGAGGAGAGAAAAGGAAGAAGCUGUGCUGUGACAGGGAAAGAAAUAUCACAGUAACAACAGAAAAGAAAGCCCGAACAGUGCAGAUGCCUAGCUGCCCCAUGACAACUCACAUUUCGCUUCCACACUUUGAUUUGUUUGUGAGGAUCAACUACUCAUCCAGGCACUGCUAUCACCCAAGCCUUCUGUCUUCUUGCUAGACAAUGUCAGGAUAGCUGGGGUGAUUCCCCCAAAUGUUGCAGAGCUCUAUGUGGAAGAAAUAUGCAUCACCAAAUCCUGCUCAAAGGAGGCACUCCAUUAGAUGUUUUCUGAGAUAUAAACCUACAUGUGUUAGGACAUGGAUAGAGUUUUGGGGAUUGCUUGUUUCAAUAGCAGAUAUGACAUAUACUGACUAGCCUAGAUAUUGGUAUUAGGAAGGGAAUCUAGAGGCAACUGUUUUCCUUUCUUUUUCUUUUCCUAGAGACCAAUUAGUUUAUGGGAUCAUAUCACUCUUCUUUUGUGUUGCCCAGACAUGACAUCUUCACCCUCAAGCUUGAUAUGACUUUCAAGGUGAUAAAGUUAAAGUUUUGCUGGGUUCUUUCCUACUCCAGCCAUCUGAGUUAAUGUAUCCUCUUCAAACAGCCCACAUCUUGAAUACAAGCUCAAUGACAUGUAGCUUAAGCUUUUGUCACAGGACCAGCUUUGAGUACUAAAGAUAGUAGUAAGAGUCUGCUUUCUCCAUAAACACAUAGAGGAAGACCACAGUCCUGCCCUCCCUUGUGAUUUACAUGGUCCUUUGUGGGGUAAAUGAGAGCAGAAGUUCCAUGCUAGGAAGUUAGGAGCAUGUGAGCACGCAUGUGCUUUCUCAUAUUCCCCACCUCCUCUUCCAUAACGACCCUGAGGAGAGAGGAUAAGAAGGAAAGAGAAGGUAUUACUUUAAGACUGAAGCCAGUCAACCUGCAUCCUGGACAGAGACCUCUGCUCUGUUAUAAGAUACAGACUUUAGGGGCUGUUCUUGUCUCAUUUCUGUUGCUGUAAUAACAUCCUGAUAUGCAACUUAAGGGAGAAAGGCGUUUACUUCUCUCGAUAUUUCAGGUUUCAGUCCAUCACAGGGGAGAAGCGAAGGCAGGUACUCGAAGUAAAUCACUUACAUCGUACCCAAGUCAACAGCAGAGAAUCAAAUGUAUGCACCCUUGCUUGCCUGUGUGCUUGCUCUCAGCUAACUAUCUUCUUCCUACACUGUCCAUGACCCCUGCCUAGGGAAUAGUGCUGCCCGGAAGGGGCUGGUUCUUCCUACAUCAAUUAAUCAGAAGUCUCCUCGCAGGUGUACCCACAAGCCAAUCUAAAUCUAGGUACUUCCUCAUUAAGACACUCAUCCCAGAGGCUGGAGAGAUGGUUUUGCAGUCAAAAGCACCUGCUACCCUUUCAGAGGAUCUGGUUCAGUCCGGUUCUCUGAGCUCACGUGGUGGUUCACAUCAUAGCUCCAGGUCCUGGGGAAUCUGACAUUGUUUCCUGACCUUUGAGGGCACCAGGUACAUACAUGUGCACAGGCAAAGAACUCACACACACACAAAUAUAAAAUUAAAAAAAUAAGUCUUUUCAGGUGAAGUUGACAGCUAAUACUAGAUAGCACAGAAGUUAUUAUUGAAACUAUGCCCACUCAGUUCUGUUCUGACUAACCUUCCCCGAAUAUUCCCCCAGGGAAUGGAAGCCAUAUGCAGAAAUAGAGGAUGAACAGAAUCACUGGCAAGGUGGGAAGGAGAGGUGCACAGGUGGACAGUGAUGAUUUCAGUCAUCUGCAUGGUUGGAGUGGGGGGAUUCUGGGAAGUGACAUACCACCCACCAUCUGUCUCCUGUCUGUGCACACGAAUACCUACCCGGGGCCAUUGCUUUAGAAAGAUGUCUCUUUUCCCCAUCUCUUCAUCUUCCCAUGAUUUCCACGACAGAUCACUCUAAGAAUCUUACUUGGCAAGGGAGUCUGGGAAAUGUAGUGUCUAGACUUUCAGGCACAUGGGAUGGUGGUGGGGUUUAUUUAAUCUUUAAGGUUUUAAUGACAAUAUUUGAGAUUUUAUGUAUUUUAUGUGUAAGGAUAUAUGUCCGUACGGCAUGUGCGUGCAGAGCCCCGAGGAGGGGAUGGGUGUGGAGUCACCUAUGGCUGUGAGCUGCUCUGUGGGUGUGGGAAAUGAACACGAGUCCUCUGGAAGGUCAAUCGAUGCUCUAAACCACUGAGGAAUUCCCAAGCCCAGGAAGUUUUUGGAAGUGUGAUGAGGGCACUUGUCUCUCUGCAAAAGAAGGUCUAGAGUUGUUGCACUUGGUCCUUCUGGUGAGACAGCCAACUGGUUAACCGCACCACAACCCACAUUUUCUUGAAAACUCUUCAAGAACAGAUCUUAAUGAACUUUGUGUCCACACCCCCCCCAACACGCAAUAAAUGGCUUUGAAUUGAUUUCAUUAACAUAGCAGAGUUGAAAGGAGCCAAGGAAGUGGUCCCUGUGUGUGUAAGUCAGAUCUUAGUAUCACCACCCACCUCAUGGAUCCUGGUGGUUCUUCUUAAUCUCCCACCCAGCAGAAGGCACUUCCUCCCCACCCUGCUCAGAGUGAGGAUGACCCAAAUUCUUGGGUUCUGUCUGUGCACACAAAGAAAGGAUGGAGGGUCUAUGGAUGCCCUGCCUUACUGGAUCCACAGAAACUGUCAAGUAUUUUUUUUUGUUGUUGUUGUUGUUGUUCGUUUUGAACUGUAUUAUUAAGUCAUUUAAAAAGUUGUUCAAAAUGUGUCAAUACUGGUUCUGAACACAGCCUUGUACUCUGGUAAGAGGUGGAAUUCCUCUUUGGGUCUGGGGAGGGUGGGCUGUGGGUCCCAACUGGGACAGAGCGGGAAUCAUCCAUAAGUGAGUGCAUCUGAGCGCAUGGAAGGCCCGCUCAGUCAUUAAAAAAUGAUAUUUAGAAAGAGGCGGGCAGGCCCCAGUUUUGCUUCACCUCGCAAAAGCAUGAGGAUAAUUAAACCCGUCCUGCCAUAUUUUCUUCAGUACCGCCAAAAGCUGAAACUAUUGUUCCUCUGGUAAGAAUGAUGGUGGAGUGACUCAGACUUAUUUACAACCAUCAAAGACACGACUGAUACGGAUCGUGGCAUAAUUAAGCUUGUCAUAAUAAAGAGGUGACCGUAUCGGGACAAUCACGGGGGCUGUUAUGAUGUCACAGUUGCCUGUGCCCAGCGUUUAGCCUCUAGUUUCCACUCCCGCCCACGCUUAUCUCCAGCUAUAUUUGGUUGUUUUACGGUGCUACCUGGACCACCGUCUGCUUUACAAAAUAAAUGAGCAGAUUGCACUCCACGGAACCCAUUUCCCUUGCUUAUUGAUGCUUUUCCUUGGUUUGAUAUGUUUUGGCCAUUUCGUACCUAGAAUCGCAGCUGAAAUAGUCACGGGUUUGCUUUGUAUGAAGGGGAGCACAGCUCUGAGCAAUCAGCUAGUGGAUAUUGUUGAGCUGGUUGGUGAGUUUGGAAAAUUCCACUCUUAAAAAAAAAAAAAGGCUACUUUCUCCAUAGCAGAUUUCCUCUUGGCUGCAAUUAUCCACAGAUGAUUGUCCAGUUUCCCAGUGGUCUUAACGGCUGCUGACAUCCCCCAAACAGCGUAUUUGAUGGAUUUUAUGAGAUAUGCCUAGUGAUCUUUUUCUAGGUGGCUUAUCUUUUUUUUUUAACCAGCUUGUGCAGUUACUUAAUAAAUAAAGAAAACUGUCUGAUCUCCCCAGCA